AUUGAACGCUGGCGGCAGGCCUAACACAUGCAAGUCGAGCGAGCGGCGGACGGGUGAGUAAUGUAUGGGGAUCUGCCCGAUAGAGGGGGAUAACUACUGGAAACGGUGGCUACUACCGCAUACUAUCGGCUGAACCCAUAUGGGAUUAACUAGUAGGUGGGGUAAAGGCUAACCUAGGCGACGAUCGCUAGCUGGUCUGAGAGGAUGAUGGGCCACACUGGAAGUGAGACACGGCCCAGACUCCUACGGGAGGCAGCAGUGGGUAAUAUGGCACAAUGGGCGCAAGCCUGAUGCAGCCAUGCCGGGUGGAGGAAGAAGGCCUUAGGGUGGUAAAGUACUUUCAGCGGGGAGGCGUUACCCGCAGAAGAAGCACCGGCUAACUACGUGCCAGCAGCCGCGGUAAUAC
rnacentral:rRNA from 1 species